AUUGAACGCUGGCGGCAGGCCUAACACAUGCAAGUCGAACGGUAACAGGAAGAAGCUUGCUUCUUUGCUGACGAGUGGCGGACGGGUGAGUAAUGUCUGGGAAACUGCCUGAUGGAGGGGGAUAACUACUGGAAACGGUAGCUAAUACCGCAUAACGUCGCAAGACCAAAGAGGGGGACCUUCGGGCCUCUUGCCAUCGGAUGUGCCCAGAUGGGAUUAGCUAGUAGGGGGGGUAACGGCUCACCUAGGCGACGAUCCCUAGCUGGUCUGAGAGGAUGACCAGCCACACUGGAACUGAGACACGGUCCAGACUCCUACGGGAGGCAGCAGUGGGGAAUAUUGCACAAUGGGCGCAAGCCUGAUGCAGCCAUGCCGCGUGUAUGAAGAAGGCCUUCGGGUUGUAAAGUACUUUCAGCGGGGAGGAAGGGCGUAAAGUUAAUACCUUUGCUCAUUGACGUUACCCGCAGAAGAAGCACCGGCUAACUCCGUG
rnacentral:rRNA from 1 species